rnacentral:rRNA from 1 species
CGGCGGACGGGUGAGUAAUGCCUAGGAAUCUGCCUGGUAGUGGGGGACAACGUUUCGAAAGGAACGCUANUACCGCAUACGUCCUACGGGAGAAAGCAGGGGACCUUCGGGCCUUGCGCUAUCAGAUGAGCCUAGGUCGGAUUAGCUAGUUGGUGAGGUAAUGGCUCACCAAGGCGACGAUCCGUAACUGGUCUGANAGGAUGAUCAGUCACACUGGAACUGAGACACGGNCCAGACUCCUACGGGAGGCAGCAGUGGGGAAUAUUGGACAAUGGGCGAAAGCCUGAUCCAGCCAUGCCGCGUGUGUGAAGAAGGUCUUCGGAUUGUAAAGCACUUUAANUUGGGAGGAAGGGCAUUAACCUAAUACGUUAGUGUUUUGACGUUACCGACAGAAUAAGCACCGGCUAACUCUGUGCCAGCAGCCGCGGUAAUACAGAGGGUGCAAGCGUUAAUCGGAAUUACUGGGCGUAAAGCGCGCGUANGUGGUUUGUUAAGUUGGAUGUGAAAGCCCCGGGCUCAACCUGGGAACUGCAUCCAAAACUGGCAAGCUANANUACGGUANAGGGUGGUGGAAUUUCCUGUGUAGCGGUGAAAUGCGUACAUAUAGGAAGGAACACCAGUGGCGAAGGCGACCACCUGGACUGAUACUGACACUGANGUGCGAAAGCGUGGGGAGCAAACAGGAUUAGAUACCCUGGUAGUCCACGCCGUAAAC